GCCUGUGCCACAGUUUCAAUCAUACACGUCAUUUUACUACAGUACAGUAGGUGGCGGUAUAUUGUUCGUGUCCGUAUGGUCAUACGCGGCAAGCAAGUACACACACGACUGAAGUGUCGCUGGAAGACUGCAGGAACAGAAACCCCUGGAAAGGUUAGAAGACAGCGGAAAGAAUUGACAUCGCAGUAAACCCAGCAGACAGCCAGAGACACACCAAGAGACACGCACACACACGCAGCUGAAGUGAGUUUGACUGACGCGCACGGGAGAUCGGGCACGCGCAAGGGAAAUCAUGCACGUGCACGGAAGGUCGUGCACGCACGCACAAACAUGGAGCACAGCAUAAUUACAACAGUUGGAUUAAAAUAAAAGUACUUUGUGGUAUACAAUGUU